UUGACUGUGCUAAGGUAGCAUAAUAAAUUGGCUUUUAAUUGAAGUCGGGAAUGAAAGGGUGUUUGGAGUUAUUCUGUCUUAUUUUUAUUUUUUAAAAAUUACUAAUGAGGUGAAAAUUCCUCAAUAUUAUCUGACAGACGAGAAGACCCUAAGAAUUAUUACAAUUUAUUAAAGUAAAUUAAUAAAAGUUUUUGUUGGGGCAACAACUUUGGAAGUAAAUAACCAAAGAAUUUAUUACAAACAUAAAAAGAUUAUAUUAAAAAUGAUUUUAAUUACCUUAGGGAUAACAGCAUAAUUAUAUUUUAGAUUGUGACCUCGAUGUUGGAUUAAGGCCU
rnacentral:rRNA from 1 species